AGUCGCCUGCGGCCGAGGGCAGGGUGGCGAGACGCGCCGGCGGCGGGGAAGUUGGUUAUUGCGAAGUGCCGUGGCUGCCGGCGGGCGCUGCGGGACUCUCUGCAAUGGGACCCGAGCGGCUCUGGAGGGAAGCGGCGGCCCCAGAAAGAAGGCCGUUGGCUGAGACCAGGAGCCCUCGGAGUCGCCGCGCGCAUAGCGCUGUGGAGCAAGAAGCCAACCGCAGCGCGGGUCGAACACGCCAGUACCUGGCACCCGCAGGAGGCGCGGAACUUAGCUGCCACAUCGGAGCCCCGCCUGGAGAAAGCUGAGGGCCCAGAAAGGAUGAGUUCCGGACGGGGUCGCCCAGCCACAAGUGGAAACCUGGGCUCUCUGGAAAAGAGAUGAAGAAAUUUACGGAAUGGCUUGGGAAUGAGAAGAUUCAGGUGGGACCAUGGAAGCAAAGCUUGUUCUUCUGUGGAUGUCAUUGGUUUAUUCUUCACAGCACACCUGGGGAGUACAUCUGUGCAUUUAUCCUCUGUUCACAGCUGAGGCAACUGAGACUGAAACAGGAAAAGUGGUUUGUCCAAGAGCAAAGCCAGGGGCAGGGAAGUUUGAAAGAAAGAAAAAUAUGCCAAGAUGAUUAAGUUUCACCUAAGAUUUUAAAGCUCCCACCUAAAAGAUGUGGAAAACAAGCACUAUACCAGAAUAUUGUACCUUAUUUCUGCCCUGUCUUAAAAACACCAUGAGAUUUUCCUUGAUUUCAAGAAUACAGAAAAUGAACAUGGUCCUUUAAAUUAUGUGACUCUUUCGAAGCAAAAUGCCAACAAGGAAAAACCACAUUUGUUUUCUGCCUCCCUUUUUCAAGAAGCUGAAAAUAUAGUGCAAUGCAAAUGAACUCUUAGUCGUGGGUCAACAUCCUUACAAGACCUGCCCCUCGUUCUCAGGUUAGAGAUUUCUCCUCUGCCUCCACAUUCUCACCCACACCCAACUUGAAAUAGGUCUCCAGGUCCCAUUUUGAUCACAUAUUCUUUCAGUCACAUGUGGGAGAUGAGAAGGGGUUAAAUGUAGCUAUGCAAGACUAGCAAAACUCAUCACUAAACUGGAAAACAACUUCAGGCUUACUAUCAACAGUGGGUAGUUAGCAUCAGUUUAAAGACUGUGAAUGUGCACAAAUGUUUUCUAAGAAUAUUUUUCAGAAGAGUGUAAUUAUAGGUAUAAUCUCUAAUUGCAUUAUAAAUGAUAAAUAAGAGAAGGUUAGCAAACUAUAUUUCAGGGCUGUUUGCUGUACUUAUCUGCUGCCAUCACUGGCCCUGUCUUCCUUUGUGACUGCAGACUGUGUUGUUUAUUAAUCUUGGUGGUAAGGGGGAAUUGCUGUACAGUACUUUUGUGUUAGGACAGGAUCUUACAGAUGAUGAUGAAGGUUGCAGGAAGGACUGUUGAAGUGUUUUAUUUUGGUAUUUGUUUCAUUUUUAAAGGCUGUGACUAGGACUUCAUACCUGUCUAAUAAGCAUGCAUGUAACAUUUUUAUAUUUGCUGAGUGCUUCAUAGUCCUCCAUGAGUCCCCACAAUACCCCUUGAGGGUAGGUCAGUAUUACUGCCUACAGUUUACAUAUGAGGAAAUUUAAGAUACAAAGGGAUUAUGUGAUUUGUACAAGGUCACCCAGCAUGCAAGCCUAGCUAAUAAAAUAUGACUGCAAAUCUCUUUCCAAAUAAAAAGUACCUUAUAAAUUUUAGGUAGUAUUAAUGGGUACGAUCCCAGAAUGAGUAAAAUACUCUUCAGGAGUAAAGUGCUUAUACAUGGUAUAUAAUAUUAAUUCUCUCUCUCUUUUUUUUUUUUAACCUCUGGAUGACUUUUGAAAUAGUUAUUCUUGAACUUGGCUAUGCAUCAGAAACAUCUCUAGAGUUUUUAGAACAUGGGAGCACAUAGGCCCCUACUCAGCCGACAGAAUCAUAAUCUGGGCAGUGGGAUUUAGAUAAUUAUGCCUUGAAAAAUCUCCAUGGGGGAUUUGGAUGCUCAGUCAGAGCUGAGAACCACUACUCUAGGCUAGAAGAGUAACAUCGGUCAGGCCAAGAGCAACAACAAAACACUGUGGAGUUAAUUCAGAAGAGAAAGUCUGGUGUCUUCCAGGCCUCUGUCCAGCCAGUUCACAACUAUUAUUAGCAGAGGAACUGCCUCCCUGAAAUAAUCAACUGUAAUAACCAUGUGUGAAAUUCCAGGAAAUAGUGCAGAGAUUAAAGUUUAUUUAAGAACCGUCAGUUUUUGAAAGUUAUAAUUUACUGGGUAAAUUUACUGGCACACCCUUGGUUUAUUACUGUGCUUAAUGUUUUUAUUCUGAAUACUUUGUACUUCUUCAUAAUCAACAUGGUAAGAACCUGUAAUAUCUGCCCAUUCAUCCAUCUGCCAAACACUUAUUGAAUACUUGCUGUAUGGAGAUUUCAGAGUGAAAAUAAUGAUCUUUUUCCAGAAGUUUAUAAUCAAGUGAUAAAAACAGACACAGGCAAAACCAACCAACCAAACAAAAACCCGAAGCCACACAUAUGAUAAUAAAAAGUAUAAUCAAAGUGUUAGAUGAGGCAUUAUUCAUAAUUGCUAAAAAGUAGAAACAGCUCAAAUAUCCAUCAACUGAUAAAUGGAUAAAUGUGGUAUACCCAUACAAUGAAGCAUUAUUAUUAUUCAAACAAUGAAGUGGAAUGUAUACUGAUAAUGCUACAACAUGGAUGGAUCUUAAAAACAGUAUGCUAAGUGAGAGAAGCCAGUCACAAACGUGGUAUUCCCAUACAAUGAACUAUUAUUAUUAUUAUUAUUAAACAAUGAAGUGGAAUGUAGUACUGAUACAUGCUACAACAUGGAUGGAUCUUAAAAACGCUAUGUUAAGUGAGAGACACCAGUCACAAAGGACCACAUAUUGUAUGAUUCCAUUUAUAUGAAAUGUCUUGAAUAGGUAAAUCUGUAGAGACAGAAAACAGAUGGUUGCCUAGGGCUGGGGAUGGGGAAGGAUGGAGGAAAUAGGUGACUGCUAGUGGGUACAGGGUUUCUUUUUGGAGUGAUGAAAUGUCCUAAAAUUGAUUGUGGUGACAGUUGCACAACUUUGUUGACUAUACUAAAAACCAUUCAAUUGUAUGCUUUAAAUGGGUGAACUGUAUGAUAUGCAAAUUGUAUCUCUAAUAAAGACAAUGGAUCAUAGAUAGAUAGAUAGAUAGAUAGAGCUGUAUGAACUUGGAGGAAAGAGUGAUUAAUUAAUUUGGAUUGGAAGAAAGUCAUGGGAAAUUUCCUGGAGGAAAUGACAUUCGAGCUGACUCAAAAAGGAUGAUUUUUGUAAGAUGCUGUGGAUGAAAGGAGGGAAGGUAUGCUCAAAGAGACACUCAAAGUGAGGGUGCUUUCAUGCAAGGGCAAGUUAUCUGGAAUAGACAAGAGUUUAAGAUGCAUGAAGGAUACAGUAGAUGGAGGCUAGAUGCAGGGCUUUUACUGUCAUGCUAAGUUCUGUGGUUUGGUUUUCAUUUUUGUAGGCAAUGGAAAGCCACGAUAGGUCUGUGAGUGGAUGAUCAGACCUGUGAUUUGGAAGGAUAAUUAGAAGUGGUGAUGAGGUAGAUAGAAGAUGGCAUGGGAGAGCAGUGAGUAAGGGAGGCCAUUUAGGAGGCAAAGGCAUUGCAAUGUGUAGGUGAGAGAUGAAGAAGCCUGCGACUACUGCAACAGCAGUGAGGGCUGAAACAAGGAGACAGAUUUUUUUUUUUUUUUUUUUUAAAGAGUCAGGGCACUAUGUUGCCCAGGGUGGUCUUGAACUCCUGGGCUCCAGCAAUCCUCCCGCCUCAAAGCAAUCCUCCCGCCUCCCAAAGUGUUAGGAUUACAGGUGUGAGCCACUGCGCCUGACCAAGGAGACAGAUUUAAGAAAUGGUUAAGAAGUAGAAUCAUUAAACUCACCUACUCCCUGAUGGCCCUGGGGGAGUAGGUGGAAAAGCAUAGAAAUUGGACAGCACACUAUCUGAAACCACUUAAGGGCAUGAGUCCUUUUUUGACAAAUUAUUUUGAAUGAAAAAACUUUUGUUGAAAUAAUGUCCAGCAAGCAAAUUGUAGCUUUUUACAUCUGUUAACAAGGGUUUGAUUACAGACACUCUUAAAUUUUUUAACAAAGGAAUGUAUAUUGUGAAUCAAAGGUGGAUUGAAGACAGAAAUGCAAUCCAACCAUUCUGUGAGCACUUUCCAAUCAGACCUCCCCUUAUUGAAGAUGAAGCAGUCGUCAUUUAUAGACUAUUCCGAAUGACUAAGUAUUUACCUCUUGCUCAGAUAGCUUACCUAGAAACACUUCCUUUGGUGUGAGCAACUUGGAUUUACUGCCAGGGCAACACCUCCCAUCCAACGCCCACACUGCCUCUUGGCUCGGUCCUCACCAGCAGGUGUUCAUAAGCAGUAUUUUGUUUUGCUUCUAAUAAGAGUGUAGGCUUUGAAAAGCAUAGGCGGAACAUAUCACACAUUAUUCUUUCACUUACAAGUGUUCUUAUGGGGAGAUCUGAAACCUUGGAGUCUCAAGGAUCAGGAAGACAAAGACUGCCUUUUCUCAUGCAAGGCCAUACCUAUGUUUUCCAUUAGAAGGAGGGGCAGGCAAAUCCUGGGCAAGGUCAAAAUAGAAACAGUCUCUCCCAGUGCAUGGCGGUGCACUCCCUGGGGAUCUGUUAAAGGCUCUUUUGUGUGUUCUAGAAGGUGUUACAGUGAAACUGCCUGCUGCUAGCUGAGUUUGAGAACAGCGACCCUGACAAGUGCCUUACAGGAGUUUAUCAAGUGGAGAACACCAUUUAGAACACCACUCACCGAGAUGCAGCUCUUAUCUGUGCCUGUCAGUGAACAAUGACUAUGACAAGCCAUGUUCAAUCACAGAUCACAGUUGUUAGCAGAGCUAAUUACAGCAGUCUCAGGUGAGAAGAAUCCCAGCAGCUGCCUCUAAGGGACUUCCAUCACAGGGGCUUCGCAGGUAAGCAACGAAAAUAGCCCCUUGGGGGAUCUAUAAACAACAGUUCUCUGCAACUCUGAACAUGGACUCAUCCACAGUUGGUGAAAGAUCAUGUUCAAAGGAGAACCACCAAAGGGAGAAGGAGGAAAGGGAUGCUUAAAGCCAGGAAGGGAAAUGUUCUGGAUUAAAUAAGAGCAGAACUGGGUAUUUAUUAUUCCUUGGGCUGUCUGACUCACUGCAUAACCUUAUAAAGUCAUUUCCUCUUUCUGGGCCUCACUGUUCUCAUCUCAAAAAUAAGGAUAGUAAUACCUGCCCUAUUUAUAUCAUGGGAUUGCUGAAAGAAUAAAAUAAAACAUGUAUUUUUAAAAAUAAAAGCUGGGGAAAACUAGAAAAUACAACUUUAGGUAGUGUAACUGAUUCCCUUUGUCUUAUUUCACAUUUUACUUAUAAAUGAUGGAAGGGAACAACAACAAAUAUUGGUGCUAUUACAGAAUCCUAGAUUUCAUUUUCUCAUGCCUUCAGUUUUUUGUGGUUUGCACAUCUUCAGAUUUGCCUCUCCAUCCCCAAUUUGUUCUCAGCAUCAAUUCUGGGGUAAACUCAGGCUCCAGUUUGAGGAGGAGAGGAAGAUCCCAAGAAUCUGAAGAGGCGAAGCCCCUGUAUUUUUUUAGUCUCUUGUCUUUGUGUCUCCUGCUGCAGCCCACGUCUUGAGGGCCUCCUCCCAAGUCCUGAAGGUGUAUCCUGCCUGUGGGAUACCUGGUUUGCUGGGGACGUUGGCCCUGAAUGAGAAUUUCUAAUGUCAAAUUGGAACUUAAGAAGACAUCUCUAGAACAGAACCAAAAAGAAUCUGUAACAACGUGCCCUAAACAUGUCUUAGGCUGGGUCUGUAACUACAUUCUUGUUCCUGCUGAAAAUCGCAGCAUCCUUCUAACCAAGCAAGGCACGUCCACUUAUCUGAUGGUGCUGUCAGUGACAGAAAGGGAUCAUAUUAUGGAUUUGGCAGGGAGGAAAAAGAUUUAUUUCCAAAUUUUGAAGAUUUAUCUUUUCCAGAUAUGCAAAACCAGUCAGAAUAUUAAAAAAAAAAUCAAUGAAAAGUGAUCAUGUUUUGUGGGCAGAAGGAAACAUUCUUGACUUCAAAAUAAUAAUGAAGACUUAUAAGGAUCCCAAAUCCAUGAUAAAACAAAUGAUUUGACAAUAGCAAGUGAGCAGGACUACCAAACCCUUAAACUGCCCCCUUAUGGUGAAGCAAUGUCUCCAUUUAAUGAAUGUGUUCCAUUAAAUGUUUAAAUUUCCCCCUUUUUCUUUUCUCCUCUCUGCUGUUUAGUUUUUUUCAAUGUUCAGCAUAACUAAAAAGCCUUAAGUAGGGAAUUGCACAUAAUUAUAGGCUCCACACCAAUGACAAAGUGAUGCCUCUUUUUAAGUAUUCAUAAUCAUUUUUGUACUCUUCUUUCCUCCUCUGGACAAUUUAGUUAGAAUGACAGCAGUGUCCUUUAUUUCUCUUGAAGGCAUCUGCUGGUCUCACUUUGUGUACAGGUCAUAAAACAUCAAGAAACACAGUAAUGUAUUUUUCAUGUAGUCACAUAUACAUAAAUUUUUAAAAAACACUGCUUUAAAUGAAUAGAACAAAAGUGGGAGGGAGUAACUAAAUUUUAUCUGUUAUAGUUAUUUGGUGAGGUAAGGAGGUUUAAAAGACUAUCUUUCCAACUCAAAGGCUGUGACCACCCUGAACGUGCUGGCUUGUCCUGCCAGCUGACAGGUUGUUUUGUGCUGUUAGGUGUCAACUCAGUGACAUCCUUUGCUCUCUCAACCUUUCCUUUAUUACUGGCUUAGUGAAAUCUGACAUUGAUAAGAACCCUAACUUGAGAAUGCUUCACAGAGCAGGAUCAUUGCCAAAUUCAGGAAUCUUGCUAGUUUGCAAGAUGAGAGAAUCCAUGCAGAACAAAAGGCUGAUACUAGAAGUCAGCAAUCACAAUGGGAAUCAAUCCCACAAUCUGAUUUCUAAAUAUCUUAAUCUCCUCUGACCUUAAAAGAGUGAAAUUGGCCUAAUUUUGAGAAUAUCUUUACAAGAAAACACAGGGUAAGGUGGAGUGAAAUCCUAAAACAUAGCUCUUCUGGCAGUUCUUUCCCAACUUCUGACAUCUCUUUUUUACCCAGAUUAUGCAUCAAUGCCCAUUUUCUCUUUGUAGCAUUAAAUUCAUAACAAAGAACAUACAGCAAAUGCCUCAUUUACCUGGUCCAGGAUUAAGUCUUUCUGAAUACAGGACUUUCUCAGGUGACAGUUAACCUAGUCUCAUGAUGCAAAUGUACAUUUUAACUCAUUUUUAAGGGAAGCGUUUUCUAAAAUUUAUUUCCCUCUCUGUUGCCUUAGUGGCCAGGCCACGGGUUGACCUUGUUGUGAGGACUCAGGAUCACCACUGAGGUCUUCUGUGCAAUGCAAUGCUGCAACAAAGCCAUCAGGGUUUCUGAGGAGAGCUGGGUCACAGUGUAUUCUAAGUAGCACAAUGAGGCCAUAGGCUCAAUUUGCCUUUAACUCGUAUCAUCUAAACUUUUUGGUGUUCUCAAAUCAUUAACAAAAGUUCCAAUUAAUAUUUGGCCUACAGUAUUUCUAAGGAUAGAAAGUUUUCCAUCAGGAAUUCAGUUCAAAUAUACCAUUUCAGCAUAAAGAAGGGAUGCCCAUGACACUCAAUAUAGGCCUAUGGUUGGAUUCUUCUUAUUACUGCUAGUCUAUUAGCUGGCAAUCCUAUGUGCUGCUUCUCCUCUUUUGUAUGACAUUAAUAUUAAUAUUAAUAUUUCCCCUUUCCCUGAAGCUUUAUGUCCUUGUAGACUUUAGAAUUCAGAGGUUUAGCUUUGGUAGUCAUCUUUGAACCUGAGAGAGGAAGUAAAAUGCAAAAUGUCAGUGCCUAAGCUGAAGACCGAUUGAAUGAGGCCAUUCUCUCUUGAUUAUGUCUCCAUGCUCAACAUGAAUUUCUGCGUCAAUAGAGAGAUACCAAAUCUGUUCCAGGUGCAGGAUUUUGGGUCACAGCAUCAAAGCAUCCUGUCUCUAUGGUGAACAAGAGUCAUGGAUCUGGUGUGCAUAUCUGUGGACCAUAAUGGGUUACUAUGGUUUACUCUCCAGUGUCAGGGUCACUUUUGAGGCUUCUGAACUCUCCUCCCCACAAUUCAGCCAAAAGACAGGUAGAAUGUUAUGGCUACCUCAUUCUAGUACUGCCCCAACACUGCCUGCCAUUUUUGGGUGCUGAGCUAAUCAACUACCUCUGGUCUUUAGCUCCUUUCUGGAUGUCUUUUCUUAGCGGGUCAAAUAAGAUACAUAAAAACUUCCUAAAAAAUGGAUACUCUGCUGUCUUUUCUGUAUCUUUCAGUCAUCAUCCCACCGCAAUUUUCUUUUAGUUUACCUCUUCCUUCUCCACCAAAAUUGUUCUCAAUAAGGUCAAGGAAACAUUUGUAUUCAUUUUCUAUUGCUGCUGUACCAAAUUAUCACAAACUUGGCUUAAAACAACACAAAUUCAUUCUCUCAUAGUUCUAUAGGCCAGAAGUCAGAAAUCAGUUUCAUAGAACUAAAGUCAACGUGUCAGCAGGGCUUGCUCCUUCAGGAGGCUGUAGGGGAUAAUCUGUUUUCUUUUUCUUUUCUUAGCUUCUGGAGGCCAUUCACAUUCCUUGGCUCAUGGCCGCUUUCUUGUAUCACUCCAGCCUUUUGCUUCCAUUGUCGAAUCUCCUACUCUCUUUUCCCUAGUCAAAUCUCCUUCUGAAUCCCUUAUAGAGACACCUGUGAUUACAUUAGGACCUGCCUAGAUAAUGCAAUAUAAUUUUCCCAUCUCAAGAUCCUUAACUUAAAUCUGCAAAGUCCUUUAUGCAUAUAAGUAACAGGUUCCAGGAAUUAGGACCUGGAUAUCUUUGGGGACUAUUCUUCCUAUAGCAACAUUGAUUUUCUAAUUUUCAAAUCUGAUGUCUUCUGUUUAGUCCUCAUCCUAACUCUCUUGCUAUUUGAUACUGUCAGUUACUCUGGGAAAAGCUCCUCCCUGACUUUCAUGAUUAUUUUCCUCUGAUACGAUAUCUUUAUUGUCUGUCUCUCCCCUAGAAUGCAAGACUCUGAGAGUAGGAAUCCUGGCUAUCUUGUUUGUUGUUUUAUCCCCAGUGCUUGGAAUAAUACCUGCCACUAUCAAAUCACAAAAGGCAUCAUGUAAUGUAAAUUGGAUGAGCUUCUCCCAUUCCUAGUUCCACCACCACUCUCUCAUUUUCCUUCACUAGCAACUUCCUCUAUUCUCAUGGGUCAAGAUUAGUAUUCUCCACGGUUUUGGAAUAGCUUGCUUUUCUCCUUAUAUGCCAGGUGGCCACAUUUCCAACCAUACUCAGUGGGCUCUCAAAUGUAUACCUUAACCCCAGACCUUUGUUUUGCACUUCUAACUUUCAUCUUUACCUUGAUAUUCCACAAGCAUGGAGAAUUCACCAUGUCUUAUCUUUCCCAUCCACCAAGCACAGCCCAAAACUAACUUUUCCUUCCUCUUAUAUUCUCUGCCUCAGGGAAUAAAAAGUAUCAGAAUUCACCCAGUAGUGUAAGCAAGAAAACUGGGAGUUAUCCCAGAAUCCAUGCUUUCUCUCUACUCCCCUCUCCACAUCACUACCCACCCAUCUAGUCAGUCAUGAAGUUUUGUCAACCUCACUCCUAAAUAUCUCCUGAUAUCUCUUUCUGUCUGACUCCCAUUGCUUUGGUUCAUGUCCUUAUUACUCCUAUGGAGUAGGAUAUAAAUGAACUUACCAUGUGUUCCUCCUGACUUCCCUUGAGUAUGGUAGAAUGUCACACUCUUAAGCUUUUUGGAGGUGUGCCAGAGUUGCUGGUCAUUGCCUGUCCUGCUUCUGGCCUCUGCCAGUGGGCAGUGACUGUGAUUUGCAUACUGCUUCCAUAGCCAGUUGGCCCAGGGAUGGGCUUCUGUCCUAAAGGUGGCUCCUUCUAUAGAUUGGUCGGCCAACUUAGGUCAUGGGUGCCUGGUUGUAAAAUAUAAGCUGAGUAAAAUUCCUCUUUUAGGAUUUUGGAAUAGAGAAGCCUGAGAGGCUCAGGGUGCUGUACUGCUGAACAGAAAGGUUAGCAGUAGUGACGGGCAUGAGCAGGCUGCAGCGAUGAGGAGGCAGAUAUUGUGUGUAAGCAGGGGAGCUGUGAGCCAGGAGAGAAGAGGGAAGAAGAUAAGCCAAGGCACUGUGAGAAGGGUGAUGUUUCAGUUUUGGGUGGUUCUUUAAUUGUACUUCUGAAGCCUGGCUGUAUUGUGAUUCCUACCGUCAGAUGUCCAUGAGAUUGCUGCAUUAUUUAAAAAACCCCAGUCUGAGUAUACCCUUGUUUCCUGCAAUAAACUGGCCAAAGAGCUAUAUGUUCCAGUAAGCUCAUAAUGUUAUGAAGAGACAUGUGGAAGAAAGAGGCACUAUUCUAGAGCAGCAAUAUGAAGUCCCAAACUAUUCCACUCCUUCAUAAGGCAUUAGCUUGAAGGGGGAAAAAAAGGAAGGUUGUAUCACCUUUUCCUUUGGAGGUGAAUGAUGAGCUUCUUAUAUCAAAGUUAAUCUUUAUAUAAAAACAAAUUGAUCCUUGCAAACAUAAUUUCAGAAAGGAAAAGUAAUUGCUGCUACAAACAUCACAUGAAAAUCACAGUAACAGGUGACAUAACACUGAUACUUGUCAGUGGGAUAAUCAAAUCACCUUUUAGAUGCCAUGUUUCUAGGCAUCUACCUUUCAUUUUGCCAGCUGUUGGGACCCGUGGGUUUGCUGAAGAUCUGCAGGAUUCCUAGUCACAUGACCAUAUUCCUCUCUGAAAUAAGAAUUGAUGAGUAAGUUUAUUGAAGAUCUAUAGGUUAAAACCAACAUUAAGUAUAUGUAACCAAUACUCUAAAUAUGGGAUACCUUCAGAAAGCAUCUUUCUGUCUCCCUCUAUCCCUAUAUAUUUGGUGGAUGAAUUUUUCACCAUUUAGGAUAAAAACAACAGGUCAUAUCAGGACUCUUGAGCAUUCUCAGAGAGUAGAAUACCCCAUAGUCACUUGAAAUUGUUUUUGGUGCAUCUAAUCCCAUGUCAUAAUCAAAACUUAAGACUUGGUUUAAAGUGAAGUUGUAUCUUUUCCCUGACUGAGAAGCCAUGUGGGGGUAGGAAGCUGAGGAAGGGGAGCGUCUUCUCCUUGUUCCUGGCAGUUUCUGAUCCUUCUAGGGUUGCUAUGGGAGAAAGAAAAAGUGGAGACGGGUGAGAAUGUUCUUAUUUCAGUGGUAGAGUUGUAUACUGGCCUACUUUCUGGACCUGAUAAACAGUUAAAGCAGACCACACUUGGUACAGGCUGUGCAGGUUAUUGGGAGACUGUACCGAUUACUGGCAAUGUUUUGCCUGCAGUUCCCUGAUUCGGGCAAAUGGGCUCUCCAUUCAAGCAGACCCCUCAGCCCCUCGGAACCCAGUGUAUCCCUCUGGGUCUCCCCUUCUGAGGCCUGCCUGCAACGAAGAUGCCCUCAUACCAAUCCCUUCUCACAUUUGGUUCAUAUUUAGUCCAUGAGGACACACACACACACACACACACACACACACACUUCCCUGGGACAAACUCAGAGAAACAGCAUCAGCUGCCUUCACUGUACAGCCAAAGCUGCUUGCUAAACUAUCUCUUGCCUGAUUUCCCAGGAGAGUUAGACCACUGUGUUCUUCUUACCCAAGGACAUACAUUCGCUUUCCAGUGAGUCCAACUUAUGCCCCUCCCUCUUGAUAUGAAGUUGACUCCCAACCUUUCUACUUUGGUAGAAAAUAAGUGAGAGGACAACUUUUAAAAAACUCCUCCAAAGAUCCUCUCUCCCAGGUCUAUAAUAAUCCUCCACGUGAUCUAGUAUUUCCUUGAAAUGUAGCAUCUAUUGUUUCUUAGUGCCUUAGCCAAUACUUUAGUUUGAGUAUCCUAUAUCAUGGGAUUCUUGUUUGAAAUUCUAGUGUCAGAAAUUUGUUGCUGAAAUACUGUUUUACCUUUAGUCUCUGCACUUCCUGCACACUAUAACCACAUGGUUAUACUCAGGUAAGAAGUGCUCCAAGAGAAAAAAGGUCUCUAGGCUUUCUGGCCAGCCAUGCUUUUUGAAGGGAACCAAUGGAUUUUCUCCAUCUUAGUUGAGCAGACACUGAAAGAAACUCUUGGAACCUUUCCAACUGGUGGUUUAGGAGAAGGAUCAGCAACCUAGGACCUACGGGCUACACAAUUCUCACCCUGCCUGGAGAAGGCAGGAAUGAACACAGGACACCCAGACACACAAGUGGAGGACCUUGUCUGUGGCAUCCCUGGUUGUAUUGAGAGUGGGAUUGUCCUGCAGGACUACUAGAAGGGACUGUUGAGCUCAGCAGCCUUAAGGACAGGAAGAAGGACUGCAACAGGCUGGGGUAGGGAGGCCAGACACCCCUGAGUAGUCAGGAGUCAGAAGGACUGACUAUGGAUAAACGCAGGAAGCAUGGGAGGCUACUGAUGCUGGGCCAAAAGCACAUUAGCUAAGGCCUUCACAAUAUGGAUCCCAAUCUACCUUGCCAGUCUCAUCUCCUUCACUCUCCUCCCCUUUACUCCAGCCACACAAAGUCACCUAGCAUUUCCUGAAUAUGCUGUGUCCUUCCACACCCUCAUAUUUUACAUAUACUGUUCCCUUAUAGAAUACCCUCCUCACUCCCAAUCCCCAUCCAUUGCUUCUAUUCAGCCAUCAAGACCUAGCUUAAGUCUAAUUUUCUGUGAAUCAUUCCUGCUACUUUUCCCACCUGGUACCAUCUGACACAUGUCAGUUCCAGCCCUCAUUGCAAUAUGCUGUGCUUUAUUCACUUGUCUCUCCUUUCUCCUUAACAGAUAGUAUCUCAAAGACAAGGACUAUGAUUUAUUCAUUUCUGUACUCCCAUCACCUACUACUGUGCUUCAAUGCUUUUCUGUAAACCAGAAGUCUAGGCUUGGUGUGGCUGGAUUCUUGGAUUAGAGUCUCACUGAGCUGAAAUCAAGAUGUUGGUCAAGGCUGCAGUUCUCAUCUGUCGUUGUGGAUCCUCUUCUAAGCUUACUGAUUAUUGGCAGAAUUCAUUUCCUUGAAGCUAUAGGACUGAUGUCCCCAUCUUCCUGCUAGUUUUUGGCCAAGAAUUACUCAGUUCCCAGAGGCUACCCAGUUUCUUGCCAUGUGGUUCCACUAGGCAAUUCACAUGAUGCUUGCUUUCUUCCAGGCUUGCUAGAGCACAUCUCUCUACUUUCCUCUUUAUAACUAACCAGAGAGAAUUCUCUGCUUUUAAACGGCUCACCCAGUUACGUCAGGCCCAGCCAGGAUAAUUUCCCUUUUGCCAUAUAAUGUAACAUAAUCACAGCAGUGAUAUUUCCACCCACACUCAAAGGGACAGGGAAUUAUCCAAGAGUGGGGAUCACUGGGGUCAUCCUAGAAUUCUGCCCACCCCAGGGUUCAAUAUUUAUGUCAAAUAAAUGUUCCAGAAAUUUGUAAAUGAUAAACACUGCUAUUCAAUUGC